UACAGAGGUCCCAAGCGUUGUUCGGAUUCACUGGGCGUAAAGGGUGCGUAGGUGGUUGGUAAGUCCGAUGUGAAAUCUCCAGGCUCAACCUGGAAAUGGCAUUGGAUACUAUCUAGCUUGAGGAGUGGAGGGGGGACUGGAAUUCUCGGUGUAGCAGUGAAAUGCGUAGAUAUCGAGAGGAACACCAGUGGCGAAGGCGAGUCCCUGGACACUCCUGACACUGAGGCACGAAAGCUAGGGGAGCAAACAGG
rnacentral:rRNA from 1 species